CGUUCCGAAAGGCCCCUUCCGCUGCUCUUCCCCUGUGGGCUCGAGUACCCCGUUCAAAGGUUCCGCAGGAGAACGCUGAGGACCCGCGAGAGUAGCCUAAUGACAGUGAAGUGGACAUGUUUGGUGACUAUGAUAGCUUUACUGAAAACUCCUUUAUAGCUCAAGUUGACGACCUGGAACAAAAAUAUAUGCAACUCCCUGAACAUAAGAAACAUGCUACAGACUUUGCCACUGAAAAUCUUUGCUCGGAAAGUAUCAAAAACAAACUCAGCAUUACUACCAUA
rnacentral:lncRNA from 1 species